UCUGCAGAUAAGGCUGGCCUUGAACUCACAGAGAUGCCCCCCCCUCUGUUUCCUGAGAGCUGGGAUUCGAGACGUGGGCCUCCACGAUCCAGUGUUCCUCCCACACUUUGGGUGUGACCAAUUCGAUCCUCAUUUCCCAGCCUAGAAGACUCUUCUGCAACGGGCUUCCUUUCUUCUAAAGAGAGCCAGGCUUCUCAGCUUCAACACCAUUGACAUGUUGGGUUGGACAACUCUUUGUGGGGAACUGCCCUGGCCUGGAAGGAAGUUCAGCAGCACCCUGGUCACUCCUCCCUCGACGCGCCAAGUAGUAUGCACACAUUCAGUCAUGACAGCCAAAGAUGGCUAGUGUGCCACCGGUUCAACACCAGUCAUCUGGUGCGCCUGGAUCUUAACUAUUAGUGAACUCUUAUUUCCAGGUGCAGCUGCGGAUAUCCCAAACCCUUCUUUGUGCUACUAGAGCAGAAGACAAGGUAGACAUGGGUGCUGCCCUCCGGGGAAUGACAGGCUUUCUGGGACAACUGCGUCUUCAGUGAGACAUAAGGAAAAGAAAGACAAGAAUCCAGAAAAGAGUCCUGACCCAGAUUGUGGGAAUCAAACGAGCCUCUUGGAGAAAACGGGGACUUAGCCAUCUGGAGAUCGGGGGGGAAAAGGGUCUGCAGAACAGAGACAGUGUUCAGAUGUCUUGAGAGACUCUGUACACUUAAGGAACCCAGAAAAGUCGCACGGACUGGGCUUGGGCAGUGGGAAGGCAUCUUCUCCUCUCAUCCCUCAAACUUGCAUUUCCUGUGCUCCUCUUCUGUGUCCCUAGCACAGGCAUUUAAACUCCGGAUCAUAUUUAACCAUCUUUCAACCACCACCCCCUCGUCCUUAGUCAACCCUUUCCAGUCAACUGGUUACCAAGCUGUGUCAUUCUACCCCGGGACAGAAUGCAAGCUGCCAGUCUAGCAGCCUCCACUCCCACCAAACCCCUGGUAUGAUGUCGGCUGUCUUCCUGCUCACUCAGACUCACGGAAUAGCUUCCUCACGAGUCAUUCUCCAGUCCUCCCCUCAGAGAAAGACGUGAAUCUGAUCACAGCUCGCCAUCUUGGCCCUCUUGACUGCCAAAGUCCUGCCACACAGCUUGUCUUCUUCCUGGGACUUUCAGAUGCUCUUCCUCACCUAUCCCACAGGCCUCUAGCUUGCUGCUGCACAAGACCAUGGUCACAUGCUGAGAGCCCACACCUCCAGUUUUCUGUUCUUUGUCGCAAUGUCCUUCCCAACAGGCAGCUGUAAAAUCCUCACCAACCACUUAAGACCCAGCUGGAACACACUCUCCAUGCCCUCCUCCCUUCCCAAAGGGGCUGCUCUUCCCCCCCCAUCUGUUUCCACUGAGCCUCAGAGGGCCCUUCUACUGCUGCUGUGUGACCAUUUGUCAUGGGGCCCAUAAUUAGCUGUCUAAAUCUGUCCCUUCCCGCAGGGUCUCAUCAGCAGGUAAUGAAGUAAACUGACUGUCCCGUGCACA